rnacentral:rRNA from 1 species
AGCGAACGCUGGCGGCAGGCUUAACACAUGCAAGUCGAGCGGGCGUAGCAAUACGUCAGCGGCAGACGGGUGAGUAACGCGGUGGGAACAUACCUUUUGGUUCGGAACAACACAGGGAAACUUGUGCUAAUACCGGAUAAGCCCUUACGGGNGAAAGAUUUAUCGCCGAAAGAUUGGCCCGCGUCUGAUUAGCUAGUUGGUGAGGUAACGGCUCACCAAGGCGACGAUCAGUAGCUGGUCUGAGAGGAUGAUCAGCCACAUUGGGACUGAGACACGGCCCAAACUCCUACGGGAGGCAGCAGUGGGGAAUAUUGGACAAUGGGCGCAGGCCUGAUCCAGCCAUGCCGCGUGAGUGAUGAAGGCCCUAGGGUUGUAAAGCUCCUUUGUGCGGGAAGAUAAUGACGGUACCGCAAGAAUAAGCCCCGGCUAACUUCGUGCCAGCAGCCGCGGUAAUACGAAGGGGGCUAGCGUUGCUCGGAAUCACUGGGCGUAAAGGGUGCGUAGGCGGGUUUUUAAGUCAGAGGUGAAAUCCUGGAGCUCAACUCCAGAACUGCCUUUGAUACUGAAGAUCUUGAGUUCGGGAGAGGUGAGUGGAACUGCGAGUGU